CGUUAUUCGGAUUUACUGGGCUUAAAGAGUUCGUAGGCGGCUUGGAAAGUGGGGUGUGAAAGCCCUCGGCUCAACCGAGGAAUUGCGCUCCAAACUACCGAGCUUGAGUAGGCUAGAGGUGAGCAGAACUGAUGGUGGAGCGGUGAAAUGCGUUGAUAUCAUCAGGAAUACCGGAGGCGAAGGCGGCUCACUGGGACCUAACUGACGCUGAGGAACGAAAGCUAGGGGAGCAAACGGG
rnacentral:rRNA from 1 species